UUGGGGAGAAAAUAAUUAAUUGUAUUGGAAACCUCCACUAACCUUUGUUCUCUCCCUGGUAGCUUAGCUUACAUGCCGGUAAGGUCACUAACUCCCGGUAGCUUAGCUUACUCGCCGCUAAGGUCACUAACUCCCGGUAGCUUAGCUAACUCACCGGUAAAGUCACUAACUCCCGGUAGCUUAGCUUACUCGCCGGUAAGGUCACUAACUCCCGGUACCUUAGCUUACUCGCCGGUAAGGUCACUAACUCCCGGUAGCUUAGCUUACUCGCCGGUAAGGU